GACGAACGCUGGCGGCGUGCUUAACACAUGCAAGUCGAACGAAGUGGCGAACGGGUGAGUAACGCGUAAUCAACCUGCCCUUCAGAGGGGGACAACAGUUGGAAACGACUGCUAAUCCCGCAUACUGAAGGAGGGGAUUGCGUCUGAUUAGCUAGUUGGCGGGGUAACGGCCCACCAGGGCGAGGAUCAGUAGCCGGUCUUAGAGGGUGAAGGUCCACAUGGGGAUGGAGAAACGUCCCAGACUCCUACGGGAGGCAGCAGGGGGGAAUCUUCCGCAAGGGACGAAAGUCUGACGGAGCAACGCCGCGUGAGUGAUGACGGCCUUCGGGUUGUAAAGCUCUGUUAAGCGGGACGCGGUACCGGAAUAGAAAGCCACGGCUAACUACGUGCCAGCAGCCGCGGUAAUUC
rnacentral:rRNA from 1 species